rnacentral:lncRNA from 1 species
UUCAAACGUGUUGGUUAUAUGUCAGGAUACGAUAUGAACUUGUUGAAGAACAUUGUAAGAAUAAGAAUAACAUGGUUUCAUAAUUUAUAAACGAAGUGUCUUACUGAGAACUUAGAAUAAAAUAGCCUAUUUAUAACGAAGUGGUUUGUUUGUCAAGUGGUAAAUUGUAAAGGUAAUUUUUUUAAACAAACGGGAGUCCUGGGAUGGACUGUUUUCUGUGUUAGUAGUGGCCAGGAUUUGAACUUGGGUCAUCUGUAAGUGAAAUCAAUCAUGGCCACACCGCCUCAAGGUUAUGGCCGAGGAGGACGUGGAGCUUUGUUAGCAGCAUUGGCCAACAAACAGCCACGGCGACCAGGCCAAGGAACAGAAGGACAUGGAGAUGGGUCUAAUACAGAGAAGAAAGUACUUUAUUUUUCUUUUAUAUUCUUCUUUAUUUGUGCAGCCUACGCUGUUAUGUGAAAGUGUUCAGUUUUUAAUUUUCAGGUUCUUUAAUUUAUUGAAUUUUUUAAUGAACAGUGGAAAGAAUAUUCAUGAUUGGGGAUCUAGUCAUCAACAGUAAUGGUUUUACAACUUUCAAACAUAUUAAAUAAA